rnacentral:rRNA from 1 species
UUUUGCGCUUAAGUGUUCUUUGCAUUCACACUUACGGUUGCCCAUUAAAGCUAAGCAGGGUUGCGCCUGGUCAGUGCCUAGCUGGGAGACCACUUGGGAAAGCUAGGUUGCUGCCGGAA